rnacentral:rRNA from 1 species
UGCGUAGGCGGGGCAAUAAGUCAGUGGUGAAAUCCUGCAGCUUAACUGUAGAACUGCCAUUGAUACUGUUGCCCUUGAGUAUAGUUGAAGUGGGCGGAAUAUGUAAUGUAGCGGUGAAAUGCAUAGAGAUUACAUAGAACACCAAUUGCGAAGGCAGCUCACUAAGCUAUCACUGACGCUGAGGCACGAAAGCGUGGGGAGCGAACAGGAUUAGAUACCCUGGUAGUCC